ACAAAGGCUCUUUUCAGAGCCACUUUAAUAAUCAUAAAAAGAUGA
rfam:Macaca mulatta chromosome 4, whole genome shotgun sequence.